CAAUAGCGUAUAUUAAAGUUGUUGCAGUUAAAAAGCUCGUAGUUGGAUAUCUGGUGGGAGCAAUGGGUCUCGCGCUUAGCGCGGGUACUUCAAUUGACUCCGGCCAUCCUUGGGGAGAGCCCGUCUGGCAUUAGGUUGUCGGGCGGGGAUCCCCACUCGUUUACUGUGAAAAAAUUAAGAGUGUUCAAAGCAGGCUUAUGCCGCUGAAUAUAUUAGCAUGGAAUAAUAAGAUAGGACUUUGGUACUAUUUUGUUGGUUUGUGUACCUAAGUAAUGAUUAAUAGGAACAGUCGGGGGUAGUUCAUAUUCCGUUGUCAGAGGUGAAAUUCUUGGAUUUACGGAAGAUGAACUACUGCGAAAGCAUUUACCAAGGAUGUUUUCUAUU
rnacentral:rRNA from 1 species